CGGCGGCCGCCGGGCGGGGAGGGCGCGCUGCCCGCACCAUGCCGCUCAGCCCGCGCCCCGCCGCGCUCCUGCCCCUUUGUCUGCUCUGCCUCCAGGCUGCGCUGCCGCCCCGCCGCCCCCGCUACGCCGGUGAUAAAGUCAUUCGUGUUGUUCCUGAGAGUGAGAGGGAGACACAGAUCCUGAAGGCUGCAUUUAACAGGCUUAAGGUUCAUUCUUUUCAUCCUAAUCAUUUGCAACUUGUUACAAUCGUCAACAAAGAAAGAGAAAUGUUUAUGAUGAGAUGGAGUGACCUGAGUAUCACAGAACUGCCCAAUCUCUGUCCUGCAGGGCUCUUCUCGUCCAUCCCCUGUCCCUCUGCCUCACAUCAUCUCCAAGGACUGCCCCUCGUCUCUCGCUCUUUCUUGUUUAGGAGACCAUCUGAGAAGCCUGAUGCUGAUUUAUGAACCUUUUCAUGGUUUUAAAUCUGUUGGACUUGACUGACAGAAACAAAUGUCACAUUCCAAACUGCUUUGCAAAGAAACAGAUUUGCUCAGGUUCUCAGAACCCACAGAUUUGGUUUAUCUGCUCUGGAAUUUUCUUUCGUAAGCAUUAUUUUUGAAGUGCCACUUCAUUCAAGCCUUGAUAACUUCUAGUCUACCAGUGGUCUAUGAGCACAUUUAAUCAUAUAUGCCUGACUGGAAUCGGUGUUGUUUGUAUAACUAGCAAAGAAGCUACUGCUCUGUGAACAUUCCUGGCAUAAUAGAGUCAGACCACUCAUUCUUCAGUAGAUUUUACAAAAGAAAUUCCUGGGCGCAGCCAAG
rnacentral:lncRNA from 1 species